GGUGCUUGGAGGGAGGUUGUCCGUGGUGAGUUCGCAUUAUUUAAUGAUGCCCAAUACACGGUCGAUCUCUUUUCGGUACC
rnacentral:pre_miRNA from 1 species